UUAAAGAGUGUUUUGUCUGAUGGAUAAAGAUGAAUUGGAUAUUAUGAUUUUUUUUUUAAGUUGUAUGCUGCUGCACAAUAUAAAAAUCAAUUUUCCUAAUGCUAUUUUAAAAGAGAAAUAUUUAUCUCAUCAAAAGGAAUAGGAAAUUCACUGUAGAGUUGUUAUUUAUAAAAUGAUUUGCCUUUGUAUAAAAUAUAACAUUGUACUCUCAUCAUUCUUGAGGAAAUCAUGUUCGGCUUUGUUUGAUUUUGAUUUUGGAAAACAAACCCACCAACAAGCUCUUGUUCUUGGGUUUGAAUCGGACCUAUUUAUAUCAUCAGCUUAGAUUACAUGAGUUUAAAAUGUGGGAAGUUAAGUGAUGAAAGAAUACUGUUCGAUGAAAUUCCUUAGAGAAAUAUUGUUACUUGGACUUCUUUAAUCACCCGGUAUGUUCAAAAUGAUGAUGCUCAUGAAGCGUUAAUGGUUUCUAAGGAGUUUUUGAUUGAGAAGAGUGAAGGAAAUGGUGAAGAGGUAGGAACUUCUGUUGAUUCUGUUGCUAUGGUUUCUGUUUUAUCGGCUUGUUCUUGUGUUUCUAAUAAAGCAGUCAGGGAGGGAGUUCAUGGAGUUGCUAUGAAGGUCGGGUUGGAUAAAGUGAUGGGAGUUGAGAAUACUUUGUUCGAUGCGUAUAUAAAGUGUGGUGAAAUGAGUUUGCCUGGAAAGGUGUUGGAAUUCUGUGAUUGCUGUGUAUGCCCAAAAUGGGUUAUCGAUGGAUGCUUUUGAAGUUUUUCAUGGGAUGUUAAAGGAUGGUGGUGGUAAAGACAAUGAGGUGACCUUUUCCACUUUGUUGCUAGCAACCAGGAACACCCUCUUCCUCUAAUCAUCCUAGUUCGUCUUCUAGUUCUCCCCAAGAUUAUCAGUUAGUAUUGCUGAAUCUAAAUCAAUAUUUGUGGAUAACUUUAAUUCAUUGACUUGCAGGUGCAGCUGAAGAAAUUGAUGCAGAUGGGGAAUCAAGCAGCACCAUUGCAAAUUGCGUUGACCGUGUUACGUCGGCUGGUCUCUUAGACAAUGAAAUUUGAGGCAAAAGAAUUAAAAAAGGUGGGAGGAAGAACAUUUUCAAGCAGAAAUUUGACGUUAGAGCAGGAGAAAAGCUACUAAAGACAUCACACUUCUUUUUGUCAACUGAAAGCGGUGCUGUUCCAGGACUUUUUUUUUUUUUUAGUUUAACGUGAAUAUCUGGAUCAACUUGCGCGCAUCUCGACUAGUUCCACGAGCCCUGAAAUUUACGACCAUGUAAGCCUCCAGUGGUCAUCAUAUGAGCAACCACAAGGCUCGAACUUGAGACUACAGGGAGAGCAAACCUCUUGGCUCUAAGCUCUUAUCACUGGACCACCAUCUAGAUGGUUGCAGGACUUCUUCUUAUUUCUACUGAAAAGAUUGCUUUCUGCAGUCAGCGAUCAAUUUCCUUCAAUAUUCUUAAUUAGCAGCACAAUGAGACAGUUGAACAGGUGAAUGUCCUCUUUAUUAUAUUUUUCAUGUCUCGACUAGGUAAGUCUUAUUCAAUUGACUUUAUAUACCAAUUAAUAUAUUAGUAUUUUUUUUUUUUGAGAAAGUUCUGUUAUGGAUAUGGUGCUACAAUGAAGUUUGAUAUAUUUUUCUUUUGAAAAAAUUGAACUCAUUUUUAUUUUUGAAAAGUAGAGCUGAAUAUUGAUAGCAAUGGGCCAAUUUGCAGUA